rnacentral:rRNA from 1 species
UUUGAUCAUGGCUCAGGACGAACGCUGGCGGCAGGCUUAACACAUGCAAGUCGAGCGCCCUCUUCGGAGGGAGCGGCAGACGGGUUAGUAACGCGUGGGAACGUACCCUUCGGUACGGAAUAGCCCCGGGAAACUGGGUGUAAUACCGUAUACGACCUUCGGGUGAAAGAUUUAUCGCCGAAGGAUCGGCCCGCGUUAGAUUAGCUAGUUGGUGGGGUAAAGGCCCACCAAGGCUUCGAUCUAUAGCUGUUCUGAGAGGAUGAUCAGCCACACUGGGACUGAGACACGGCCCAGACUCCUACGGGAGGCAGCAGUGGGGAAUAUUGCGCAAUGGAGGAAACUCUGACGCAGCCAUGCCGCGUGAGUGAAGAAGGCCUUAGGGUUGUAAAACUCUUUCGCUAGGGAAGAUAAUGACGGUACCUAGUAAAGAAGCCCCGGCCAACUCCGUGCCAGCAGCCGCGGUAAUACGGAGGGGGCUAGCGUUGUUCGGAAUUACUGGGCGUAAAGCGCGCGUAGGCGGGCUGGUUAGUUGGGGGUGAAAUCCCAGGGCUUAACCCUGGAACUGCCCUCAAUACUGCCAGUCUUGAGUUCGAGAGAGGUAAGUGGAAUUCCUAGUGUAGAGGUGAAAUUCGUAGAUAUUAGGAAGAACACCAGUGGCGAAGGCGGCUUACUGGCUCGAUACUGACGCUGAGGCGCGAAAGCGUGGGGAGCAAACAGGAUUAGAUACCCUGGUAGUCCACGCCGUAAACGAUGGGUGCUAGUUGUCAGGCAGCAUGCUGUUUGGUGACGCAGCUAACGCGUUAAGCACCCCGCCUGGGGACUACGGUCGCAAGACUAAAACUCAAAGGAAUUGACGGGGGCCCGCACAAGCGGUGGAGCAUGUGGUUUAAUUCGAGGCAACGCGAAGAACCUUACCAGCUUUUGACAUCCCGGUCGCGGUUACCAGAGAUGGUUUCCUUCAGUUCGGCUGGACCGGUGACAGGUGCUGCAUGGUUGUCGUCAGCUCGUGUCGUGAGAUGUUGGGUUAAGUCCCGCAACGAGCGCAACCCUCGCCUUUAGUUGCCAGCAUUUAGUUGGGCACUCUAGAGGGACUGCCGGUGAUAAGCCGGAGGAAGGUGGGGAUGACGUCAAAUCAUCAUGGCCCUUACGGGCUGGGCUACACACGUGCUACAAUGGCGGUGACAGUGAGCAGCCACUCAGCAAUGAGGAGCUAAUCUCUAAAAGCCGUCUCAGUUCGGAUUGUUCUCUGCAACUCGAGAGCAUGAAGUUGGAAUCGCUAGUAAUCGUGGAUCAGCAUGCCACGGUGAAUACGUUCCCGGGCCUUGUACACACCGCCCGUCACACCAUGGGAGUUGGUUUUACCCGAAGACUGUGUGCUAACUUAGGAGGCAGCAGGCCACGGUAAGGUCAGCGACUGGGGUGAAGUCGUAACAAGGUAACC